AAUCGGAAUCAGGCCGAAAGGUCUGCGCCAGCGAUGGCCGCUUGCGAGGUGCUGCAUGGUUGUCGUCAGCUCGUGCCGUGAGGUGUCGGGUUAAGUCCCAUAACGAGCGCAACCCCUACUGCUAGUUGCCAGCGGGUCAUGCCGGGGACUCUAGCGGAACUGCCAGCGUAAGCUGCGAGGAAGGUGGGGAUGACGUCAAAUCAGCACGGCCCUUACGUCCAGGGCUACACACGUGUUACAAUGGCCAGUACAGAGGGCAGCCACCCCGCGGGGGGGCGCUAAUCCUAAAAGCUGGUCCCAGUCCGGAUCGGAGUCUGCAACCCGACUCCGUGAAGUUGGAAUCGCUAGUAAUCGUGGAUCAGCAUGCCACGGUGAAUACGUUCCCGGGCCUU
rnacentral:rRNA from 1 species